AAUAUUGGACAAUGGGGGCAACCCUGACCCAGCCAUGCCGCGUGAGUGAAGAAGGUCAUCUAAUUGUAAAGCACUUUAAGUAGGGAGGAAGGGCUUUAGGUUAAUACCCUGAAGAUUUGACGAUACCACAAGAAUAAGCACUGGCUAACUCUGUGACAGCAGCUGCGGUAAUACAGAGAGUCCAAGCGUUAAUCGGAAUUACUGGGCGUAAAGCGCGCGUAGGUGGUUCAGUAAGAUGGGUGUGAAAUCCCCGGGCUUAACCUGGGAACUGCUUUCAUAACUGCUGAGCUAGAGUACGGUAGAGGGUAGUGGAAUUUCCUGUGUAGCGGUGAAAUGCGUAGAUAUAGGAAGGAACACCAGUGGCGAAGGCGACUACCUGGACUGAUACUGACACUGAGGUGCGAAAGCGUGGGGAGCAAAC
rnacentral:rRNA from 1 species